AUGGCCCGCGGGGCUGCGCUGGCGCUGCUGCUCUUCGGCCUGCUGGGUGUUCUGGUCGCCGCCCCGGGGUUUGGGGACCUGCGUCUUCAGGCCGCGCGCGGAGGCCGCCCUGGAGUUGCCUGUCACAGCCACGCCCUGCGUCCCGGGCCUAAAUUUGGAAUCGCUAGGAGCCUGAGACCCGGGUGGUGGGGGGAAGGGAAGGAAAAGUUAGAAAAAAACUUUGAGCCCUGAAAAUGUUCAAAAAUACUCUGUGGAUGCGGGCUCCGGGAAUUUCAGCGCGUGCUGUGCGCCAAGCAACACGGGGCGCAGAAAGAAACGUGUGCUUACCAAAUUGUCCAUCUGCGGCGGUGGAGAAUUCGGAAAACAGAAAAAGUGGGCAGGGAAGAAAGAGCCACGGUCACCCUCCCACGCCCUAAACCGGGCCUAUUUCUAAUUAUUACUUUAAUCAUGUUUUUCUGUUUCCCUCCCUUUGAAACGGAAACGGAGACCCUGCCGGAUGUGGUAUGUUAUAAAUUCUUUUUUCAUGUUAU
rnacentral:lncRNA from 1 species